CCUACGGGAGGCAGCAGUGAGGAAUAUUGGUCAAUGGACGAGAGUCUGAACCAGCCAAGUAGCGUGAAGGAUGACUGCCCUAUGGGUUGUAAACUUCUUUUAUAUGGGAAUAAAAUGUUCCACGUGUGGGAUUUUGUAUGUACCAUAUGAAUAAGGAUCGGCUAACUCCGUGCCAGCAGCCGCGGUAAUACGGAGGAUCCGAGCGUUAUCCGGAUUUAUUGGGUUUAAAGGGAGCGUAGGUGGAUCGUUAAUUCAGUUGUGAAAGUUUGCGGCUCAACCGUAAAAUUGCCGUUGAAACUGGCAGUCUUGAGUACAGUAGAGGUGGGCGGAAUUCGUGGUGUAGCGGUGAAAUGCUUAGAUAUCACGAAGAACUCCGAUUGCGAAGGCAGCUCACUGGACUGCAACUGACACUGAGGCUCGAAAGUGUGGGUAUCGAACAGGAUUAGAUACCCCAGUAGUC
rnacentral:rRNA from 1 species